UGGGGAAUUGUUCGCAAUGGGCGCAAGCCUGACGACGCAACGCCGCGUGGAGGAUGAAGGCCUUCGGGUCGUAAACUCCUGUUGAUCGGGAAGAACGGGCUCCGGGGGAACAUCCCGGAGCAGUGACGGUACCGAUUGAGGAAGCCACGGCUAACUCUGUGCCAGCAGCCGCGGUAAUACAGAGGUGGCAAGCGUUGUUCGGAAUUACUGGGCGUAAAGGGCGCGUAGGCGGCCUUCUUAGUCAGACGUGAAAUCCCUAGGCUUAACCUAGGAACUGCGUCUGAUACUGGAAGGCUCGAGUUCGGGAGAGGAAUGUGGAAUUCCAGGUGUAGCGGUGAAAUGCGUAGAUAUCUGGAGGAACACCGGUGGCGAAGGCGGCAUUCUGGACCGAAACUGACGCUGAGGCGCGAAAGCCAGGGGAGCAAACGGGAUUAGAUACCCCGGUAGUCCUGGCCCUAAACGAUGAGUGCUUGGUGUGGCGGGUAUCGAUCCCUGCCGUGCCGAAGCUAACGCAUUAAGCACUCCGCCUGGGGAGUACGGUCGCAAGGCUGA
rnacentral:rRNA from 1 species